UUUAUUAAACCAAAGCAGCUGGUCCUUGUGCUGCUCUGGACAUUUUGUUCCUUAAAGGACAGAAGAAAGAGCAAGGGGGAUGGUAUAUCAACUGGAAAAUGGCAAGUCCUGGAUGCUGAGUGGUGUCAAAAGGGUUGGUGACCUACACUUGUGAUGCUUGUGCUCGGAAAGUCUAGGAGGACACGGAGAAAAUGCCAAACAGCCAGAAUACUUGAGGAUGAACAAAUAACAUGAAUGCAGUCCUCGCCCCUCGUCAAGGAAGCUUCUCAACAGACGGAGACAAUCACAGAAAACCACAACCAAUCAAAGUGCAGAGUGUGGAGCUCAGUCCCAAUGGACACAUCUAUACAGGGAACCAUGGAGCUGGCCUGGCCUAGCUGCCUCGAGAGGCAUACAUCACAGGGUUUUCAGGUUAGAGUCCGUGGCUCCUGGAGCACAAUGUACCUUCCAGUUCCCGGGAGACCAAUGCACUCCCACGGGCAGCAAAGCACCACUUUGUGUUUCUCUGUACGUUCCCUUAGUAGUCAAGGAAGCAUGAAGGCUUGACAGGACAAUUGAUCUUAGACAUUAACCUUGUGUAACCUGUAUGACUUGCAAACGUCACUGUAUCCUGGCAACGACAGCUGUAUGAUCCUGGCAAUUGUCAUUAUAUUCUGUUUCUGAUGAAGGUAUAAAAAGUCUGAUUGCUCUCAAUAAAAUUGUCACAGGCUCAGUUGUGCUGUGGCCCCUCCAA